rnacentral:tRNA from 1 species
GCCCAGGUAGUAUAGUCCGGUCACGGCACGAAUCUGCUGCCGGAAUAGUAUAAGCGGCUGUCGCCCGCUGGACAUUGCAGGGACUUGGCGCUCUGCAACAAGAGCCGGGUUCAAAUCCCGGCCUGGGCG